GUGCCAGCAGCCGCGGUAAUACGUAGGUGGCAAGCGUUAUCCGGAAUUAUUGGGCGUAAAGCGCGCGUAGGCGGUUUUUUAAGUCUGAUGUGAAAGCCCACGGCUCAACCGUGGAGGGUCAUUGGAAACUGGAAAACUUGAGUGCAGAAGAGGAAAGUGGAAUUCCAUGUGUAGCGGUGAAAUGCGCAGAGAUAUGGAGGACCACCAGUGGCGAAGGCGACUUUCUGGUCUGUAACUGACGCUGAUGUGCGAAAG
rnacentral:rRNA from 1 species